CAAUAGCGUAUACUAAAGUUGUUGCAGUUAAAAAGCUCGUAGUUGAAUUUCUGGUCGUGAAACGUGGUCCGUUCCGCAAGGAAUGUGUACUGUCGAUUCAUGUCCAUCCUCGGAGUUAGUGUGUAUUACUUUAAUCGGUCGUGCACAUGUCCUCCGUCAUUUACUGUGAGCAAAAUAGAGUGUUCAAAGCAGGCUUAUGCCGUUGAAUAUAUUAGCAUGGAAUAAUAAGAUAUGACUUUGGUCUAUUUUGUUUGGUUUGUCACUCCAAAGUAAUGAUUAAUAGGGAUAGUUGGGGGUAGUUCGUAUUCAAGUGUCAGAGGUGAAAUUCUUGGAUUUCUGGAAGACGAACUACUGCGAAAGCAUUUACCAAGGAUGUUUUCUAUUAAUCAAGAACGAAAGUUAAGGGGUAGUCAAAGAAUGAUCAGAU
rnacentral:rRNA from 1 species